rnacentral:rRNA from 1 species
AUGCUAGCAAGAUGGGCAUCAUAUCUGGAGAGGUUUAACUAUCUCAUCGUGCAUAAAUCUAGAAUAGCUAACAGAGUGGUCGAUGCUUUGAGUCGUCGUGCAUGCCUCUUGACUUCUUUUGAAGAUGAACUUCCGGGCAUGGAUCAAAUAAAGGAGUCGUAUGAGGGUGACGAAGACUUUGGCCAUGUUUGGGUAAAGCACGCAAGGGGCCAACCAUUAGGUGAUGACUAUUUGAUGCAAGAUGGAUAUCUCUUCAAAAAUGAUCGUUUGUGCAUUCCAAGAAGUUCUCUAUGUGACAAGCUAGUUAGAGAGCUCCAUUUAGGUGAUCUUAGUGGCCAUGUUGGACGGGACAAGACUAUCGCUAACCUGGAAGCUCGCUACUUUUGGCCACAACUAAAGAGAGAUGCUGGAAAGUUUGUUCAAUGGUGCCCUGUAUGUCAGACCUGCAAAGGCCAAGUCCAGAACACAGGGUUAUACAUGCCUUUGCCUGUUCCUGUUGCUCCAUGGGAGGACAUUUCUAUGGACUUCGUCUUGGGCUUGCCAAGAACAAGACGAGGAAGUGAUGUUGUAUUUGUGGUCAUGGAUAGAUUCUCUAAGAUGGCUCAUUUCAUCCCAUGCCGCAAGACGACGGAUGCUCAUCAUGUGGAAAACCUAUUCUUUUGA